CGGGGUGAUUUCGAUCGGAUUAGCGGCGAACGGGUGAGUAACGCGUGAGGAACCUGCCUCUUACAACGGGAUAGCCUCGGGAAACCGGGAUUAAUACCGUAUAAGACUCCGACACCUCCUGGUGAUGAAGUCAAAGCGUUAGCGGUAAGAGAUGGCCUCGCGUCUGAUUAGUUAGUUGGCGGGGUAACGGCCCACCAAGACGACGAUCAGUAACCGGCCUGAGAGGGUGAACGGUCACAUUGGAACUGAGACACGGUCCAAACUCCUACGGGAGGCAGCAGUGGGGAAUCUUGCACAAUGGGGGAAACCCUGAUGCAGCGACGCCGCGUGAGCGAUGAAGGUUUUCGAAUCGUAAAGCUCUGUCCUAUGGGAAGAUAAUGACGGUACCAUGGGAGGAAGCCCCGGCUAACUACGUGCCAGCAGCCGCGGUAAUACGUAGGGGGCGAGCGUUGUCCGGAAUUACUGGGCGUAAAGGGUUCGCAGGCGGCAUGGCAAGUCCGAUGUAAAAGGCGAAGGCUCAACCUUCGUAAGCAUCGGAAACUGUCAAGCUUGAGUGAAGGAGAGGCAAGUGGAAUUCCUAGUGUAGCGGUGGAAUGCGUAGAUAUUAGGAGGAAUACCGGUG
rnacentral:rRNA from 1 species